rnacentral:rRNA from 1 species
CCUACGGGAGGCAGCAGUGAGGAAUUUUGGACAAUGGGGGAAACCCUGAUCCAGCGACGCCGCGUGAAGGAUGAAGGUCUUCGGAUUGUAAACUUCCUUUAUCUGGGACUAAGAAACUCGUGGAAACACGGGGAGUGAAUGUACCAGGUGAAUAAGCCACGGCUAACUUCGUGCCAGCAGCCGCGGUAAUACGAAGGUGGCAAGCGUUACUCGGAAUUACUAGGCGUAAAGGGCAGGUAGGUGGUUUGAUAAGUCUGUUGUGAAAGCUCCCGGCUUAACUGGGAGAGGUCAACAGAAACUAUCAGGCUUGAGUAUGGGAGAGGUUACUGGAAUUCCCGGUGUAGCGGUGAAAUGCGCAGAGAUCGGGAGGAACACCAAUGGCGAAAGCAGGUAACUGGACCAUUACUGACACUCAGCUGCGAAAGCUAGGGGAGCAAACAGGAUUAGAUACCCUGGUAGUCCUAGCCGUAAACGAUGCACAUUAGACGUGAGGGGUAUCGACCCCCUUCGUGUCGACGCAAACGCAUUAAAUGUGCCGCCUGGGGAGUACGGCCGCAAGGUUGAAACUCAAAUGAAUUGACGGGG